rnacentral:rRNA from 1 species
UACAGAGGGGGCAAGCGUUGUUCGGAAUUACUGGGCGUAAAGGGCGCGUAGGCGGCCUGCUAAGUCGAACGUGAAAUCCCCGGGCUCAACCCGGGAACUGCGUCCGAUACUGGCAGGCUUGAAUUCGGGAGAGGGAUGCGGAAUUCCAGGUGUAGCGGUGAAAUGCGUAGAUAUCAGGAAGAACACCCGUGGCGAAGGCGGCUCUCUGGGACGGUACUGACGCUGAGACGCGAAAGCGUGGGGAGCGAACAGG